GCAUGGUAGCUGAGUGGGUAAAAGCGCUACUUACUCGGUACCGUCUAUCGAUGGUUCGAAUCCAUCCUGCAGCA